ACAAAAUAAACAAGAGAGCGGGAGGUACCAACUCCCGGUGGAAAAACCUGGAAGUGUGCUUUGUUGCGCCCGAGUUUUCCUGAAUCUUAGCAAAAUGUGCGGCUCUAUUGCAUCCUGCCGCGAGUCUGAACGAGAGUUUGAACGAUAGUUGUCGGAGAUCCUCGCCGGUGAAAUAGGUACCUGUCCAAGAAAACAAAAUACACCCACAAAAGCAGAGGAGGGAAUAAAAAGGAAAAGUGCAAGGGUUCCAGAAAAAUUUCCGGCGAAAAGAUUAAAUUUAUAUCUCAAAAAUUCUGACGAAGCUUCGUUUUUCCGGCGAAGUUUUGUGAAUCUAAAGAAGAAUAUCACUAAAUAAAUCCAAUAAAUAAAUACUUAGUUAUCCAAAAACUCGCUAAUUAUUGAUUAUCAAUAACUAAAUAAACACAAAAAAUAAUAAUAUGAAUUUCCAUAAUGAAAUCCCCAACACCAAGAAAUGAUUUGAGGUUACAGAUCAAAAUGGGUAUACAAAAAUAUAAAAAGUCACUGAAUUUGUAAUAAACCCAAAAUAAAACCAAAAUAAAA
rnacentral:lncRNA from 1 species